rnacentral:rRNA from 1 species
ACUUUACAAUGCGGGAAACCGUGAUAAGGGAACUCCGAGUGCCCGUUAAAUCGGGCUGUCCACCAGUUUAAACAACUGGUGAAGAAAGGGCCGGGCAAGACCGGUGCCAGCCGCCGCGGUAAUACCGGCGGCUCGAGUGGUGGCCACUAUUACUGGGCUUAAAGCGUUCGUAGCUGGUCUGUUAAGUCUCUGGGGAAAUCUACCGGCUUAACCGGUAGGCGUCUCAGGGAUACUGGCNGACUAGGGACCGGGAGAGGUGAGAGGUACUCCAGCGGUAGGA